CUAACAAGGCAAACACUGCAGAACUUAAGCUGUUUUUGGAAGUAGAGUUACUGGUUGAACGUCCUAUUCCUCCUCCUGACAAAUCAAAAGAAGAUAUUCUUCUUUUCUUUAAGCUUUAUGACCCCGAGAAGCAAGAGUUAAGGUAUGUUGGUAGACUGAUGGUGAAAAGUUCCAGUAAGCCUAUGGAUAUAACUGGAAA